GGGAGCAACAGCUACCGUCGGGCGGUAGAGGUAACACUUUCACGCGCCGCAUGUCUGAAUCCUUUUUUUACGAGCACCUUUCGUUCUCCUUCGGCGGGGCAACCUGCCGUUGGAACCUAUCAAAACCUUUUUUUGCAUCUAGCAUUACCUGUUCUGAUACAAACAAUCGUUACAACUUUCAACAAUGGAUCUCUUGGCUCUGGCAUCGAUGAAGAACGCAGCGAAAUGCGAUAAGUAGUGUGAAUUGCAGAAUUCAGUGAAUCAUCGAAUCUUUGAACGCACAUUGCGCCCCUUGGUAUUCCAUGGGGCAUGCCUGUUCGAGCGUCAUCUACACCCUCAAGCUCUGCUUGGUGUUGGGCGUCUGUCCCGCCUCUGCGCGCGGACUCGCCCCAAAUUCAUUGGCAGCGGUCCUUGCCUCCUCUCGCGCAGCACAUUGCGCUUCUCGAGGUGCGCGGCCCGCGUCCACGAAGCAACAUUACCGU
rnacentral:rRNA from 1 species